AGCAGCUCAGAUUUUCAGUUUCCCAGCAAGAUAUACGACGCGAAAGAUGUCUGCCUUGAACGCGACUGUCUACCUCCAGAGAAUUGACUCGUUCCUGCCAAAUGGGGCCGUCAGUGUCCGGAUUGCUCCGGAAGACAUCCCCGGUUCAGUCAGCCAUGGACGAACCAGUACCAGCAGUGGAGGCCGUCAGAAGAAAUGCCGCACUGGGCCACCGGCACCCAGCUCCCAAACCAUAUCUGGAUCUGCUCCCAUCCCGUUGGCGACCAGCAGGGCUCAGCAGGGCAGAAGACGCCGUAGAAAUACGGCGGGAGGCCGGUCAGGCCGUAGAAAGAAGUGUAAAAAACAGAAGGGGCCAUUUACAAAAAAUUUGCAGAACCUGCUAACCUUCAGUAACCCCUUUGAUUCAAUCCAGGUGGGUGACAAGAUCCCGUGUGUGGAUCUCACCCAGAGUGACGACGAGGUUGCUACCAUCCUGUGUCGCACUCCAUCAAUGUCAGAGCCUGAGCCCUGCUCACCAGCCUUCUCCUCCACUUCCUUCUUAUUUCCAUCACCAGUCCCAUCCUCUUUUGCCUCCUCUCCAUCCCCAUCUUUUUUUACAGACUCUCCUCCUCCGUCACCAUGUGUAGUCUCACCUGUAAGCCCAUCUCCACACCCAUCUUCACCUCCAGCCACAGUUCAUCCCACCCCUCUGUAUCAGGUUCCAGCGCAAGCUGCAGCCCCCUCAUCUGAGCUGGUUACGGGUCCGACACCCCUACUUAUUUCCCCUUCUGUUGUUUUUGAGAAAAUGGAAAGAUUCAAUAAGAUGCAUAACUUUUAUCUAUGCAACUAUUCUAAAAUGACCUAUGAUGCCAAGUGCCUUGCUCAUUACUGGUGUAAUCAGUUUUGGAAUGAUUUUCAACAUGCAGUUUACAUCUGCAAGCAGGGGAAGAAUCAAAAUUCAGAGAAUCACUACUCAUAUGGUGAUAAUGAGGGUGCCCAAGCUGAGCUGAUAUUUGAUGAUGAGGCGCUGGAUCAGCUAAGUGCCAUCCCCGGGGUCCUGGAGAUGGCUGUGGAGAUGGGCUAUCUUGUGUGAUGUAAAUAGUUUUUUUAUAGAACCUGUAAAUAAUUAGGUGAGAGAUCUCACAAGUACUUAGGAUAAGAUAAGAUUAAGGUAGUUUAACCUUAUCUUAACUAAUCCUAAGAUUGUAUGAUAUAAGAUUACAUAGGAUAAGACUAAGGAUAGCUUAAGAUAAGAUAGGAUAAGAUAAGUUAAGGUUAAACUAAGAUAAUAUGACAUAAGAUUACAUAGAAUAAACUAAGAAUAGGUUAAGAUAAGAUUGUAUAUAACGUAAGAUAGUAUAGAAUAAGAUAAGAAUAAGAUAGGGUAAGUUAAGAUAAGAUUAUAUAAUAUGCAAUAACACAGGAUAAGAUAAGAUAGGUUUGUCAGGGACUGUACUGUUCCUAUCCUGCCCUUCAUUCCCCAAAUGGGGGGGG